UAAAGGGUGGUCUGGAGCUAAUCUGCGCACAUUGGGCGCCAGGAUCCUAGAGGGUGCAGUCACCCUGAGUUAAUGGAGGAGCCUCUGGCAUACUCCAGAAGCAAAUGGAACCUCUGGGGCCUCUCUAAGGAUGCGAAUGCCAGAGGCAUGCCCUCUUCCGUAAAGAGACCGAGACUGACCAGAGCCUCAGUGCCCUGCAUGGCGCCCCCAAGAGGCCUGCUGUUGCUCCCCUGAGGUGGCGCAGAGGAGGCUGCGCAUCCUGGCCUGGCUGGUUGACCACUCUGUGCAAGCAGAGUGGCUGAAAUGGACUUCUCUGCUGGGCUCUCAGUCCAGCUCAAGGUCAUGCCCCAGUCAGCCACCUGUGCUGAGGGGGCUGACUCCUGCCCCAGUACGGCCUCUACUCCGCCUUCAUGGGGCACUUCGUCCAUUUCUUCCUGGGCACCUCCCGGAUAGUGACUCUGGGGCACACGGCCAUCAAGUCCCUCCUGGUCUCCUACACCUUCCAUGAGCCCACCUGUGCCGUGCUGCUGGCCUUCCUGGGGUGCUGCAUGCACGUAGCCCUGGGGCUCCGGCUCUUGGCCAGGUUCCUGCUGGACGUCAUCUCCUGCCCCGUCAGUCAUGAAGGGUCCCACCCCCGCUGCUCCUGUCACCAUCGGCCUUGGGCAGAUCAAGGUGGGCUCGCUAGUUGGCGCCGCGGCACCUGCUGAGUAGCAAGACCAUAGCGGUCCUGGUAUGUGCGGACCACACGACACCUUGCUGUUCCAGAGCUCAGAGCACACAGUGCUCGCAUGGGUCCCAUGUAUAAAACGACCCCUCAGGGGAGAUGUUUGGGGAGGGUCAGAUUCUACAGCAGGUGAUUUGAGGGACCGGAAAUGACAGGCCCUGCUCUUUUGGAGUUUUCGCGCCGGAGUGCUUCGUUCCCUCACAGAGUGGUUCUGUUCCGCUGCCUCUACAACACACUCAGCCAGCAGCCUUCGCAGGUCACGAGCUUCCUGCCCAAAUUUCCACAAGCAAAUGAUUCCUCCAUGCCUAUUUACCUAGAGUUUUUCAUUUUUAUGUCCUUU